UAUGGUCUAUUAUCUAUUUGUUAAUAGACUUUAUUAUAUGCAAUAUUCUGGUGCUGAUGUUUCUUAUGUACUUUAAGGCAUUGGUUGGGCGCUUCCGUCCGGACUUCAUAAACCGCUGCGGGCCUAAAGAUCCGAAAAAGUUAGGUAUCUAUGACCCUGCCGACUGCAAUAAUAGUGACCAGAGCGUGCUUAAGGAAGGACAAUAUUCUUAUCCUUCUGCCCAUUCGACGCUCGCGUUUGCUCACGGGAUCUACACAACUUUAUAUUUAUUCUGGAAUUAUUACGUGCGCCAAUCCCCUUCAAACAGAACGUUGAUCGGUGCUUACAGUUCACAGGUCGAAUCGGUCGCAGACGUUGAGCAAAAUGCGCCAGAAAGGACCUACCACUGCGUUUCCGAUGUUUUGCGCCUGCUUCAGUUUUCUUCUUUGCUACUCGGCCCCGCAGCUGCUUUUUUUAUUGCGAUUACAAGAGUUCUUCAGUACAAGCAUACCUUUAGUGAU